AAAUUUGGUUCAAUUGGUAGAGUAAUCUAUAAUAAGACUCAAAACAAAGUAUGUUUCUUCUUGAAUUAAGAGCCUUCCUAAUUUUGGCUUUAUUCCUCAAAGGUUGUGAAGAUGAGAAAAGAAGUGAAGAGAAUCCGAGCUUUGGUUAUCCGAAGAUUUGUCAGGAGUGUGAGCAGACUGAAGUCAGAAAAGGGUACUGAAGAUGCACUGUUAAAAAACCAGAGACGGGCACGAUCGCUUGAAGAAAUCCAUGCCAUGAAGGGCCUCACUCUCUCUCACUGGUGUGUUGUCUUUAGAAGGUUCUGGACACGUCUGAAGAAUGGUUGGCAAAUGCAGCUGGAAUGCCCAUCAUUUCUACAGGUAUGUUACCUCCUCAGGACAAUGGAAACUGGUUUUCUUGGUAGCCAUAGAAUUCUUUGCCUUUCUGUCUUUUCCACUGUGCAUCUGGAACAGUGUUUCCUCUCAACAGCCUCAGGAGCUGGUUUUCUUAAACAAGUGAGAAAAAGGAAGAUGAUUAAAAUGAACCAAAACAGAAAAAAGCAU